rnacentral:rRNA from 1 species
GGGAACUGCGUUNUGAACUGGGUGACUAGAGUGUNUCAGAGGGAGGUAGAAUUCCACGUGUAGCAGUGAAAUGCGUAGAGAUGUGGAGGAAUACCGAUGGCGAAGGCAGCCUCNUGGGAUAACACCGACGUUCAUGCCCGAAAGCGUGGGUAGCAAACAGGAUUAGAUACCCUGGUAGUCCACGCCCUAAACGAUGUCGAUUAGCUGUUGGGCAGCAUGACUGCUUAGUAGCGAAGCUAACGCGUGAAAUCGACCGCCUGGGGAGUACGGUCGCAAGAUUAAAACUCAAAGGAAUUGACGGGGACCCGCACAAGCGGUGGAUGAUGUGGAUUAAUUCGAUGCAACGCGAAGAACCUUACCUGGUCUUGACAUGUACGGAACCCUCCAGAGACGGAGGGGUGCCUUCGGGAGCCGUAACACAGGUGCUGCAUGGCUGUCGUCAGCUCGUGUCGUGAGAUGUUGGGUUAAGUCCCGCAACGAGCGCAACCCUUGUCAUUAGUUGCCAUCAUUAAGUUGGGCACUCUAAUGAGACUGCCGGUGACAAGCCGGAGGAAGGUGGGGAUGACGUCAAGUCCUCAUGGCCCUUAUGACCAGGGCUUCACACGUCAUACAAUGGUCGGUACAGAGGGUAGCCAAGCCGCGAGGUGGAGCCAAUCUCACAAAACCGAUCGUAGUCCGGAUUGCACUCUGCAACUCGAGUGCAUGAAGUCGGAAUCGCUAGUAAUCGCAGGUCAGCAUACUGCGGUGAAUACGUUCCCGGGUCUUGUACACACCGCCCGUCACACCAUGGGAGUGGGGGAUACCAGAAGUAGGUAGGGU